GAACAGAACAAGUGUUAAGUGCAUCCCUGUUCACAGCAGAGAGGGUGUACUUGAAUUAUUCUGCCAAGACUCUAGAGAAGUCCCUAGGACACUAACACUUCCAAUGCUUAGGUUUGGAAGGGCUUGGUUCUCUCAUGCACACACAUUUCAUUCUAAUCUUCCACAAUCCUGGUGUUUGAAAGUGUCUUUCAAAUAGGCUGUUUCCUAUUUGACUCCCUGUGUAUAUUCCACUCCUGCUCUGCAGUAACACUCCAUCAUACACACGUGCACAAGCACACACUCACACGUACCCACACAUGCACACAGUUGUACAUGCACAAAUACACCGUCAUGACAUUCAUUUUUAAUCUCUUAUGGCUUUAUGAAUUUCAUAGCUCUUUUUUAGAAUGUUUUUCUAUAAGAUUCAAGUUAAUUUUAAAAAUGAAAACAAGGGGAAAGUAGGUCUCAACAGGCCCAUAAAAAUCAGAACUGCAAUUCAGAUAAUCAGACACCAAGGCGGGCUGCAAUAUAAUAAAUACAUUCUUAAUGAAUGUUUACACACUUUGGGAUAUACGGUAAACAAUCAACUCUAAUUGGAGCUCCAAAUUAAAUGAAAAAAUGUAUAGUUUGUCAUUAGUUAUUAGAUACUUACAAAGCCAAGGUAAAAUUCAAAUUUGGCCAACUGCUGUUUGAACUUAAUCUCCCCAUAUACUUGUUAUUAUUAACAAUUCAUUUUCUGUCUAGGUCAAACUAGAUAUGUACUACGUACUAAUAAUGAUCAAAAUAUAUAUCUCCCCCCUUCUUGGUUCUGCUUUUUUGGGUUUUUUUUAGCUCAGCAGUAUAAUAUAUACUUUCCCUUUGCCAAUCUGAAAGGAUACAAGGAAAGAGCUCAGGACUGACCCAGGAGUAUGUUUUUAGCUCCUAAACCAGACUGUAAAUUCCUUGACACCAGGGAUCAUAUAUCUUUCCCAUAGGACCCAGCCAAGGGCUGACACAUACUAGCAUCCCAAGGCACUCUUGUUAAUCUAUAUGCCCUGAGAUGGUCAUCAUGGCAGGAGUUAUAAAAGCCGGCAGUGGAACGAACCUAGUUUUCAAAAACAGGAAAGGUUAAUUAAAUGAUGUUAUAUCCCUUAGAGAAAUAUCUCAAAGCCAUUAAAAUGUACUUGUAAUUAGGAAGAAUUUCUAAUGAUGGAGAAAUAUGUUAUAUGUUGAAAGCAAAAGGAAGGAUAUAAAAUUAAAUGAGGACAAUUUUUUUAAGUCUAAAAAUAGGAAAGAAAAACUUUGUAAGGAAGCACAUGAAAAUGUCUGCAAUGGUUGUUUGAUCCCUGGGGAUGCAAAAGAGAUUUUUUUCCUCUAUUUUCUUGUUUCUCUCCCUGCACCCCUCCUACUCACAUCAACCCAAAAAUUAUUUACAACAUGUUACUUUCAAAAGAAAACAAACAAAAAAACUGAUUAAAAUAAGUAAAUUCUUACUAAUUGAUUCCCUAGAGCUGGCACUACUCACUAAACCCAAGGGAGUCAAGGCCAUGUGGAUCUUGUUGCACUUCUUGUCGGGAAGGCAACCAACUGUGAAUUUCUCCAAUUCUGCCAUGGCACACAUAGGCAUGCUCACAUGUGUGUGUAAGGUUGGCAAGGCCAAUGGAUGAGCAAUUGGUGUGAAAGCAGGAAUAUUUACUGAAGUCCAACGAGAUGGGGAAACUAAGACACAGAAAGAUGAAGAAACAUUUCCAAAGUCAUCCAGUAAUUAGCAGAAACAGGAUUUGAACUGAGCAGGGGUAGCAGAGAACAGCAAGCACAGCAAAACUUCUCAGAGAAAAACUAAAAAAUCAGUCUCCUCACCACAACCUCCUCUGCUCUGAGUCCACAGAAUGGAGUUAACCAGUUAGGAAUGGGACUCCAUACAGCCAAGGUAACCUGGAUAAACUGCAUAGCUCAACUGAAUCUGGAAUGUGUUCCUUAAGACUCUGUAUUUUCAAUGAAUGAAGGCUCCUUCAUGUUGUCUCCUGUAAAGAUGGGUUCAAUGGAAGGAUACAAAGCCAUAGAAACCAAGAAAAGUUGAACCAGUAGCCUUCACAAACACCCAGGAACUGUAGUGUAGGUAGGUAUUGCUGGAAGUAGAAAUGGAUUCCAGGCAGCUCUAGGGAAUUUUGGCAGCAAGAGUCUGUGGUUGAGACUAAGUAGACAUUAAUGACUGCCAUUAAUAAGACUCAGCCACUUUGACCUGUUGGACUUUUUCUAUCUCUCCCUUUUGGCUUCUUCACCUACUUCUUUCUGCAUAACUCUUCUCUACUUCAUGGCUUCUGCUUACUCAUAGUCUCUGUUCCAUCAUAACUUGAGCUUGUACAAGGACCAUCACGACCUCUUUAGCCAUUGAUCAUACCAUUAACCUUCAAUUUUGGCUUCUUCUGUUACUUAAUUUCCUACUUCAAAUGCUCUCAGCUGAUUUGUCCAGCUCCUCUUUUUCUAUCAAGUCAUGUCAAGACAAGCCUAUAGAAUAACUAUCCUUGAGUUAAAUGCUCACCCCUGUCCAAUCAACUGUGGCUGAAUGAUGGAGAGAGAACUCUGAUGAUCCACAUAGGGCGUCCCCAUCCAUCAGGGACCAGAAAGCACAGGACAACUUCUUGCAGAAAAUCUUUGUCAGGCAUUCUAGGCUUGGCUUGUUUGGUCAUAACCUUAGUUCAGUACACUAAUGUAGAUAAAUUAGUAUGAAUGCUACUAGGCAAAAUUAAAACACAAAAUAAAAAAAGAGAGAAAUCCCCCAAGGUUUAUCUAAUCCAGUAUUAAAUCUCUGAAAAAAAUACCAAAGGAUGUUUUAUAACAUGACAUAUUGAUCUUCCAUGAACUUUCAAUUCUCUCCUCUGAGGAUCCAAUAAGAUAUACAUCAAAGCCUCUCUUUCUGUCUUUUCUGUGUCUUUUUCAUAUUUUAUAUCUCAUUAACUCUCUAUAUCACAUUCUAGGUGAGCUCCUUAGAUCUAUCUUCCAAUCCACUAGCCCUCUCUUUAGCUAUGUCUAGUCUACUUGUUUGUUGAGGUGUUUUUCUUUUUUUCAAUUCAAUGACUUUUUUCUUUUCUAGCAUUUCUAUUUGGUUCUAUUUCAGAUUCUCCUUGUUUUUUCUCUUGUGGAAUUCUUUUUUAUCUUUCAAUUGUUUAGACAUGCUUAUCUUAAAGUUCCUUUAAGAUUUCUCUAUUUUAUUUGGGUUUUCAGUUUACUUUGUUGCUUCUAUUGAUGGAUUUUAAGGUGGUGGGUACUUAAGUGCUCUGCAAUUUUUGCUGGUGAGCUCUUCAUAAGAGGUCCAUGGUGUUUUGUUGCAAAAAAAAAAAAAAAAAAAAAUCUAAUAGGAUUACUUUUUCAGUUGCUUCUGCCAGAGCCCUAAAGAGUUCAAUGAUUCUGGACUAGUUUCUGAGAUCUUUUCUCAGUUCAGGGUUUCCACAGGGAGAAAGCAGUGCAAAUUUGGACCCAUACAAAGGAAAGAUGACAGCUCUAGGCUUACUUCUGGUGGAUUACUAUUUCCACUCAUGACAUGGUGUGGGCAGCUACUUCCUAUAACAACUUGCAGGUAGUUUUCCUGCCUGGUUCACCAGUGCUGCAGCAAUUUGCCAGCUCCAAGUUUUACUUGGUGAGCCUAAUUCCAGUUUCAUGUCUUGAAUAGGGUAUGUAACUUUGACUCCUAUCCCCAGGCAGGUUACAGCCCUAGCCCCUAGUGUCUAUGUGGCUUUGGCUAUUGGUUUCUUAUAUAUUUCUGGCACUGGAAAAUUUUCCUCUCUUACUUUUUUGCUGAAAUAUGAGUUUAAUUUAUAUAUGGUAUAUAAAAUAUAUAUUUUUAAUCCAACAUAUCUAUGUGUUUGCAGCGGGAGGAGAGGAAUUCCACAUCUGCCCAGGCGUUUUGUUUUCCCACAUUGUCUUAGUUUAAAAACCUGCCCUAUUUUCCUUUUAUAACUCUUUAUAGAAUUAUCAUCCCCAAAUUUAUUUACUUUGCUUAAGUCUCUUUUUUUCUAGUUAGACUACCUCCUGGAUAAGUGUUUGGUGUAAGCAGAACAGUAUUUUCCAACACCUUUACGGAUGUGUCAAGAACUUUAUAUGCUAACGUCUCUCAAUAAGAAUAGGCUACAGGGGGGCUGGCCCCGUGGCGGAGAGGUUAAGUUCUGGCGCUCCGCUGCAAGCGGCCCAGUGUUUCGUUGGUUC